rnacentral:tRNA from 1 species
UGUGGCAGAAAAGUGCUAUGGACUUAAGCCCCAUCUAUGAAGAUUAGAUCUUCCAUUAAAA